rnacentral:rRNA from 1 species
UACGGAGGGGGCUAGCGUUGUUCGGAAUUACCGGGCGUAAAGCGCGCGUAGGCGGCUUUGUAAGUUAGAGGUGAAAGCCCGGAGCUCAACUCCGGAACUGCCUUUAAGACUGCAUCGCUAGAAUCAUGGAGAGGUGAGUGGAAUUCCGAGUGUAGAGGUGAAAUUCGUAGAUAUUCGGAAGAACACCAGUGGCGAAGGCGACCCACUGGACAUGUAUUGACGCUGAGGUGCGAAAGCGUGGGGAGCAAACAGG